AUUGAACGCUGGCGGCAGGCCUAACACAUGCAAGUCGAACGGUAGCACAGAGAGCUUGCUCUCGGGUGACGAGUGGCGGACGGGUGAGUAAUGUCUGGGAAACUGCCUGAUGGAGGGGGAUAACUACUGGAAACGGUAGCUAAUACCGCAUAACGUCGCAAGACCAAAGAGGGGGACCUUCGGGCCUCUUGCCAUCAGAUGUGCCCAGAUGGGAUUAGCUAGUAGGUGGGGUAACGGCUCACCUAGGCGACGAUCCCUAGCUGGUCUGAGAGGAUGACCAGCCACACGGGAACUGAGACACGGUCCAGACUCCUACGGGAGGCAGCAGUGGGGAAUAUUGCACAAUGGGCGCAAGCCUGAUGCAGCCAUGCCGCGUGUAUGAAGAAGGCCUUCGGGUUGUAAAGUACUCUCAGCGGGGAGGAAGGUGUUGAGAUUAAUAACCUCAGCAAUUGACGUUACCCGCAGAAGAAGCACCGGCUAACUCCGUGCCAGCAGCCGCAGUAAUAC
rnacentral:rRNA from 1 species